GACGAACGCUGGCGGCGUGCUUAACACAUGCAAGUCGAACGGAAAGGCCCUGCUUUUGUGGGGUGCGCGAGUGGCGAACGGGUGAGUAACACGUGAGUAACCUGCCCUUGACUUUGGGAUAACUUCAUGAAACUGGAGCUAAUACCGGAUAUGAGCUCCUGCUGCAUGGUGUGGGUGGGAAAGUUUCGGUGGUUGGGGAUGGACUCGCGGCUUAUCAUCUUGUUGGUGGGGUGGUGGCUUACCAAGGCUUUGAGGGGUAGCCGGCCUGAGAGGGUGACCGGCCACAUUGGGACUGGGGUGCGGCCCAGACUCCUACGGGAGGAAGCAGUGGGAAAUAGUGCACAAUGGGCGGAGGCCUGGUGCAGCAACGUCGCGUGCGGGAUGACGGCCUUCGGGUUGUAACGCGGUUUAGCCUGUGAAGAAGAGUGAGUGACGGUAAUGGGUAAAGAAGCAACGGCUAACUACGUG
rnacentral:rRNA from 1 species